GUCGCCGUUGGCCGUCUCGGGCUCCACGCAGCGCCCCUUCCUCCGUGUGACCCUGCGGUUCCGGUGGAACUUGGCGUAGCAGCGCAGCCCUGAGCCAAGGGAGGAGGCAAGGGGUCAGGGACGCGACAGGCCAGACCCCCCUUCCUUCCCCGCGUCCUCUGGGGCCAGUCGUGGCUUCUCCCACCCUGUUUCAUGCUGCCCGACUGACUACCCGGCUCCGCAGCGGCCUGGAGCAGCUUCAAAGAGACAGAUCUUGAGUCUCCAGGAAAGAAGCAAGAAUGUUAGUGGGUCCAACCAGAGCGAGAAAGAGGGGAUGAACAGACAGGCUUUGGAUGCAGACACACCUUUUAGGUGCCUGGAAAGCAGCGUACGUCCCCUCCCACCUGAGUCCAAGGGAGUAGGAAGGACUCCUGGGCAGAGGGACCAUGCACUGAGCCACCUAUGUCUCCCUCGCCCUGGCUGGGCUGGAGUGCCCUCCUGCCUGCCCUGUGCCUUAGUCUCCUCCUCUGUGAAAUGGGACCCUAACUCUGCACACAUGUCACUGCGUCUUGCAGAAGGUGGCUUCCUAGCAUCCCCUACCCCACCUGCCUCCGUCCUCGCUCACUACCCAGGGGGUCCUCCCUGUCCCCACUCCUGGCCCCCUGAAGUCCUGCAGCCAGAGGGAGCCUUUAAACUUACAGCCCAGACCAUGUCACUCCUCUGCUUAAAACCUGCCGAUGACAUCCAAUUACAAACAGAACAAAAUCCAAACAAGGCCCACAAGGUCCUGUGUGAUCCUUCCAGAAGCUUCUCCCCACUCACCUUGUACCAUCUUCCCCUGGCUUGUUCCUGCCGAGGUCCUUGCCCUCCCAUCUUGAGGUAGCUGGCCCUGCUGCCCAGUCCUGCCCACGCUUCUGAAGCAACUCCAAGACUCACUAUCUUGGUAUUUGCGUUAGAGCCGUAUUCCUUUCUAAAGACAUCGUAUCUAUUUAUUUGCUUUUUGUCUGCUCAUCUGACUAGAACAUAAUCCCUGGGUGCAGAACUUGCCAGUUCCUCCCCACUGGAUCUCCCGUGUCCGGGAUGACACCUGACACAUAGUAGGCACUUGAUAAAUAUUUCUUAACCGACUAGAUGAAGGAAUGAUCAGAACUAAAGAGGUAUAUUGCUUUCACAGCAGGUGAGUUUUGAGGAUAAUAUGGGUAAAAUAGGGCAUGUAUCUCAGGUUAACAGAGGGGCUGGGACCAAAUUCUCCCACUCAGGAGAUGGGAAUGCUGAUGGGAUAUUGCAUGUACUGAGUAAUUAUUGUUCAGUUUUGGCAUUUUGGUUUUUAAAGGAGUACUUAUCUUUUAGUACUAUUUUAUAUGCUAAAAUAUUCACAGAUGAAAUAUCUGUAAACUCUUAGGAGUUGCUUCCAAAUCUUAUUGGAGGGAGGGAAGCGGGUGGCAGAGCGACAACAUGGACUGGCCACGAGUGGGUCAUCAUUGAAGCUGAGUGCUGGAAAGUGGGGAUCGUGGGAGAGCAUCACUCCAGCUUGUAUUUUCUCAAGAGAUGGGGAGACCGAAGCCCCAGGCAGCUGCAGGAUGGUCCCAGCCAAGCCCAAGGCCUCGCCCACCACGGGGCCAGCUCUCAGAGCCACUGUCCAUCCAGUUGGCCCAGAUUGAGCCUUUUCUCUGUGCUCAGGGCGAAAACAAUGGUUUGGAAAGGAACCAGCCUGCCAGGGAGCUGGUGGUCCGGCUUUUACGAUGCAGAUUGCUGGUUUGGUUGCUGUUUUGUAGAAUAUUCUGGCCACUGUGCUGCUAGGAUCUCUCUUUGGAAAGCGCUUGCUAUUCAGAUGGCAGUUAGCUGACAGCCUCCAGCUGUUCGCACCUGCAGGGGCCACCUGGGCCUGUGACACCCAGUUUCCCAGCAGCCCCAGCCAAUGACUAGCACUGGGGUUCCAGGGCCUCCCGUUCCUGCCCACCCCAGAGCUCUGGCUGGGACUUCCCAUCACAAUCUGGAGCUUUCUCUGAAUAGUCCUGCUUCCUCCUCCUUUUAUCUUUAGUAGGUGCUACCCUCCCCCAAAAUAAACCUCUCUUCCACUUCUA